GCAGUGGGAACGUUUCACUUGCGUUUGCGCAUAGUAACGUUCAAGAUGCUUUUGCGGUGCGUUAUCUGCUGUGUUUUUAUUACUUUUUCAUUGAAACUGGUAUUGAGCAAUGUCAAUAGAUUGCACAGUCGCAGCCCUGAUUUCUGGUUACUCUGUGGUAUUGACUGAUGCACUGAGGAAUAUAGAGGGUAUCAUUCCUUCUAUCCUCACGUAAAGAGAAGACACCUUCAACACCUACUUGAUUGCACCCGGACAGAUGGACAGCCAUCGGAGGAAAGCCAAGUACCACCGGAACAAGACAACAUUCAACCCGAUCAGCUUCUAGCUAACUCCAGCAUCACUGAUCAGCAACUCCAUUCAUCUGACUCAGAUGAAGGGCAAAGGGGCAUUGACCAACAUGGAGCUGUCACAGUGCAACAAGAUUUGAGAACACAUGCCACUGCAUUUGUGAUAAAUGCCAGAGCCAAGGCAUCGUCUCUCACAGAUAAACCAAAGGCAUUGCAGAUUGUUCUGUACAUGGAUGAAAUAGAAAUUUGUAAUCCACUAGGAUCCUUUGCAUCAAAAAACAAGUUGUUAAUGGUGUACUACACCCUAGGAAAUAUAAAUCCAAAAUACAGGUCUAAACUGGCUGCUAUCAGACUACUUGCCAUGGCUAGAUAGCAGACCGUCAAUCUGGUGUAGAUGUAAUAUUGAAUAGAAUCAAGGAAGACAUGGAUGCAUUGUACAGUGGGGUUAAAAUGCUAACUAUUAACGGAGAGAAAAC
ensembl:lncRNA